AGUGAACGCUGGCGGUAGGCCUAACACAUGCAAGUCGAACGGCAGCACAGUAAGAGCUUGCUCUUACGGGUGGAGAGUGGCGGACGGGUGAGGAAUACAUCGGAAUCUACUUUUUCGUGGGGGAUAACGUAGGGAAACUUACGCUAAUACCGCAUACGACCUACAGGUGAAAGCAGGGGAUCUUCGGACCUUGCGCGAUUGAAUGAGCCGAUGUCGGAUUAGCUAGUUGGCGGGGUAAAGGCCCACCAAGGCGACGAUCCGUAGCUGGUCUGAGAGGAUGAUCAGCCACACUGGAACUGAGACACGGUCCAGACUCCUACGGGAGGCAGCAGUGGGGAAUAUUGGACAAUGGGCGCAAGCCUGAUCCAGCCAUACCGCGUGGGUGAAGAAGGCCUUCGGGUUGUAAAGCCCUUUUGUUGGGAAAGAAAAGCAGCAGGUUAAUACCCCGCUGUUCUGACGGUACCCAAAGAAUAAGCACCGGCUAACUUCGUG
rnacentral:rRNA from 1 species